rnacentral:rRNA from 1 species
AACGCGAAGAACCUUACCUAGACUUGACAUCCCCGGCAAAGACAUGGAAACAUGUUGGAGGUUACCCGGGAGACAGGUGGUGCGUGGUUGUCGUCAGCUCGUGUCGUGAGAUGUUCGGUUAAGUCCGCUAACGAGCGCAACCCUUGUCCUUAGUUGCUAACAUUAAGUUGAGAACCCUAAGGAGACUGCCGAUAAUAAAUCGGAGGAAGGUGGGGAUGACGUCAAAUCAUCAUGCCCCUUACGUCUAGGGCUACAGGCGUGCUAUAAUGGCAGAUAUAAAAAGUCGCAAUACCGUGAGGUGGAGCUAAUCUGUAAAGUCUGUCUCAGUUCGGAUUGAAGUCUGCAACUCGACUUCAUGAAGCUAGAAUCGCUAGUAAUCCUGAAUCAGAAUGUCGGGGUGAAUACGUUCCCGGGUCUUGUACACACGC